UCCUGGGCACCCGGGGAAGUGGAAGCUGGGCCCUGCUGCGGGGGGGAGAACCACAGACACCGGGACCGGGACUGCCGCCGCCGCUGCCACCAUGAGUGAUCAGCAGCUGGAUUAUGCCUUGGAUUUAAUGAGGCGCCUGCCUCCACAGCAAAUCGAGAAAAACCUCAGCGACCUGAUUGACCUGGUCCCCAGCCCUAUGUGAAGAUCUUCUCUCUUCUGUUGACCAGCCACUGAAAAUUGCCAGAGACAAAGUGGUGGGAAAGGAUUAUCUUUUGUGCGACUACAACAGAGAUGGGGACUCCUAUAGGUCACCAUGGAGUAAUAAGUAUGACCCUCCACUGGAAGAUGGAGCCAUGCUAUCUGCUCAGCUCAGGAAGCUGGAAGUGGAAGCCAACAAUGCCUUUGACCAGUAUCGAGACCUGUAUUUUGAAGGUGGCGUCUCAUCUGUCUACCUCUGGGAUCUGGAUCAUGGCUUUGCUGGAGUGAUCCUCAUAAAGAAGGCUGGGGAUGGAUCAAAGAAGAUCAAAGGCUGCUGGGAUUCCAUCCACGUGGUGGAAGUACAGGAGAAAUCCAGUGGACGUACUGCCCAUUACAAAUUAAGCUCCACAGUGAUGCUGUGGCUACAAACCAACAAAUCUGGCUCUGGCACCAUGAACCUCGGCAGCAGCCUUACCAGACAGAUGGAGAAAGAUGAAACUGUGAGUGACUCCUCCCCACACAUAGCCAACAUCGGGCGCCUGGUAGAGGACAUG